rnacentral:tRNA from 2 species
GCUGGUGUGGCUCAAUGGCAGAGCACAUCACUCGUAAUGAUGGGGUUGUGGGUUCGAUUCCCACCACCAGCUCCA